AUUAUGAGGUGCAGUGUGGGUGCUGGGAAUCAAACGCACGUCCCCUGGAAGAGCAGCCAGUGCUCUUAACUGUAGACCCAUCUCUCCAGCCCCAAGGUUAACUUUCAAGACAUUUAAUCUUAAGAGUUCAUUUCCCAUCAUGCAAGUUCAGGUUUCUAAGUAGUCUGAUACUUGGAUCACAUUGCUAACUUUGUGACCAGAGCCAAAGCACUCACCCCCUUUGGGCCUCCAUCUUCUCAUCUGUAAAAUGGGGUCACUGGAUAGAAGGGUGUCCCAGACCCUUCGUGUUUUAAAGUCCAUGCAAGGCACAAACCAUUUCAGCAAGACCCUUGACCAUCCCUCUUGACCAGGUCCAAUUUCUCAGGUAGAGCGUGGUAUCCCUCACACACGCGCCCUCCUUCCUCUUUCUCAAGAGCGACUCUGUCUUCACAGCGGAAAACAGACAGAAGCUUCGGGACGAUGAGCUUCGGAGGGAGUAUUAUGAGGAGCAAAGGAAUGAGUUCGAGAACUUCGUGGAGGAACAGAGAGAUGAGCAGGAAGAAAGGACCAGGGAGGCGGUGGAGCAAUGGCGGCAGUGGCACUAUGAUGGCCUGUAUCCUUCCUACCUCUACAACCGCCAAAACAUAUGACCUCACCCUCAAGCAACUGGGGAAGAGAAGCAUAGACACGCCUCCCGCCUCUCUGCAGACAGACCCAUAAGGUGAAGCUCCCUCGAGGCCCUCGCCACCAGUUGCAGGAAACACACCUUUGUUCUGACGCCUUUUGAGGCCUGGUUUUCCCUUCUUUCCGGAUGUUUGCUUUGUCUUGUUUUUGAGUGAGCGACCGCCUGUGGUUCUUCCCAGCGUCAGAUCUACACCUUGCCCGCUUGCUUAGCCACCAGAAACAGAGUUAGAAUGCCUGUCUGAUGGGACACUUGGAGGAUCGAAGCAUAAAGAUUUUAAGCUUGCUUGUGGCCUAUUAAUAAAAGUGCUGACUCGA
rnacentral:lncRNA from 1 species